rnacentral:pre_miRNA from 1 species
GUCUAACUCCUCGCGUUCAUCCCGUUGCUUUUAUGUUCCAAACACCAUAAGGCACGCGGUGAAUGCCAAGAGCGGACGC